rnacentral:tRNA from 1 species
CGGCUGCGUGCCGGACGCGCCGUUGCCGGCCAACGCCUGCAGGGCGGUCGGCUGCGUGCCGGACGCGCCGUUGCCGGCCA